rnacentral:rRNA from 1 species
CCUACGGGAGGCAGCAGUGGGGAAUAUUGGACAAUGGGCGAAAGCCUGAUCCAGCAACGCCGCGUGAGGGAUGACGGCCUUCGGGUUGUAAACCUCUUUCAGCAGGGACGAAGCGCAAGUGACGGUACCUGCAGAAGAAGCACCGGCUAACUACGUGCCAGCAGCCGCGGUAAU